rnacentral:rRNA from 1 species
UACAGAGGGCCCAAGCGUUGUUCGGAAUCACUGGGCGUAAAGGGUGCGUAGGCGGGCGGGUAAGUCUGACGUGAAAUCUUCAAGCUCAACUUGGAAACUGCGUCCGAUACUAUUCGGCUAGAGGAAUGGAGGGGAGACUGGAAUACUUGGUGUAGCAGUGAAAUGCGUAGAUAUCAAGUGGAACACCAGUGGCGAAGGCGAGUCUCUGGACAUUUCCUGACGCUGAGGCACGAAAGCCAGGGGAGCAAACGGG